UGCCCAGCGGUUUCCACUUACUGAUCAGGACUGGGCACAAACAGAUCACGAUGGAGCCGGCAAUGAACUGGGUUUUCCUGUUUGCGAUUUUGAAAGGUGUCCAGGCUGAGGUGCUGCUGGUGGAGUCCGGAGGAGGCUUGGUGCAGCCUGAGGGAUCCAUGAGACUGUCCUGUGUGGCCUCAGGUUUUACCUUCCAUAACUAUGGCAUGCACUGGAUCCGGCAGACUCCUGAGAAGGGCCUGGAGUGGAUCUCAGCUAUUGGUAAUGGUGGUAACACAUACUACGCAGACUCCGUAAAGGGUCGAUUCAUCAUUUCCAGAGACAACGGCAAAAAACUGGUGAAUCUGCAAAUGAGCAGCCUGAGAACCGAGGACACAGCCCUGUAUUACUGUUCAAGAGACACAGUGAGGAGACAGACUUGGGCUCCCUGA